rnacentral:rRNA from 1 species
AGUGAACGCUGGCGGUGUGCUUAACACAUGCAAGUCGAACGAGAACGGAUUAUAGCUUACUAUAAUUGUCAGCUAAGUGGCGCACGGGUGAGUAAUGUAUAGGUAAUAUGCCUCUUACUAAGGGAUAACAAAUGGAAACGUUUGCUAAUACCUUAUACUCCUUAUUAACAUAAGUUAAUAAGGGAAAGAUUUAUUGGUAAGAGAUUAGCCUGUAUUGUAUCAGUUAGUUGGUGGGGUAAUGGCUUACCAAGACUAUGACACAUAACUGGUUUGAGAGGAUGAUCAGUCACACUGGAACUGAGACACGGUCCAGACUCCUACGGGAGGCAGCAGUGGGGAAUAUUGCACAAUGGACGGAAGUCUGAUGCAGCAACGCCGCGUGGAGGAUGACACAUUUCGGUGCGUAAACUCCUUUUAUAUGAGAAGAUAAUGACGGUAUUAUAUGAAUAAGCACCGGCUAACUCCGUGCCAGCAGCCGCCGUAA